GUUAAUUUUCCUUUAAGUGACUUUAGAAAACAUUCACAUUCUCUUCCUCUGGGGUAGUAAGUAAUACCAUUUUUAUAUAUUUAUGCUGUCAUUGAUCACAUGAAAACCCUCUGCUACACCACAAAGAUUGCUAGUUACAAUCAGCUGCUUGGACUGACUUUUCCUUCAUUGCCCCUUUCUCUUCUUAAGGGGUCCAUUCUCAGUGAUGUCUCUGCUAGUCUCCUUUGAUGAAUAUGAUUUUUUUAAGCUGAUAUAUGGGCAGCAGCUAGAAAAUCGUUCCUCUGGGCAGUGCUGGCCCAAUACAUUUUGCUGCCUGAGGGUAAAGGGUAAGGUGAUCCAAUCAUCAUUUUCCACAUAUAUAGAAAAUGCUGCUGCUGUCACAGCCUUCACUGGGUGCCUUAGUCAUUGUAAUUGUCUUUAAAUUCCAUGCUGUCUGUGUUAAGCAAAAAAUGCAUUGUAUCUGGGAUCCCUGAUAGCCAAGACCUAUUUAAUGAAAAUAAGUUGUUUAGUUGUAAGUAAGCAGGAAUAUAAUUGCAGCCUGAGUGGACUUCACAGAAGGGCAGGGAUUAAAUGAUGACUUUCUCUUGAGCCAUUGUUCAGCACUAGAAAUUCCUGAAGUUUCUGCUAGUAUCUUUUCAUGAACAUGAUUUGUCGGCAGCAGCUAGAAAAUCAUUCCUAUGGGCUUUGCUGGCCCAAUACAUUUUGCUGCCUGAGGGUGAAUGACAGAGUGAUCCAGAGGGAUCAUUUUCUGCAUAUGCAUAUGCUGCCUGCGUAAAGCUCAACAUUGUGUUGUAUCUUAACAACUAUCCCAUAGGAUAGGAAAAGAGGUGAUUUACUUAGACGUAGAAAUCAUAACCCAAUUUACUUAGACGUAGGAAUCAUAACCCAGGCUGCCUCUCUGUUGUGAGAAUAAAAGAUUGUCAUCUACAUUGACAGCAUGAUUCCUAAAAACUACCAACAUGUCCUUGCGUUUGUUUUUGCCAUGAAUGAGGUCAACAAAAAUCCUGAAUUGUUACCCAACACCUCGCUGACAGCAAAGGUUCUUGAUAAUUAUUUCAGUGCCGUGAGAACUUCCGGGGCUACUCAGGACCUACUAUUCCUAGGAAAAGUGCACUACCCCAAUUAUAACUGUGUCAGGAGAAAGAAAGUGCUGGCUGUCAUUGGAUGUCUCACAUCCCAAAACUCCAUUCAGAUGUCCAACAUCUUAAAUACCUACAAGAUUCCACAGGUAUGUGUAUAAGUAGGCAGAUACAGCAAGGAGGAGGGAUAUAAAUAGCAACACAUCCUCUCAUGUAUGCUUCCUCCACCAGUCUGAAAGCAAGUUUUGCCAAGUCUAUUUUGAUCUGUGCUGGCUGCAUUGCUGUCUUAAUCUACAUGAAGCCAUUGGAAGCAGUCAUUAAGAGUGUUGGGUCAAAGCAUUAUAAAUAUGCAGACGAUAAGUAGCUCUGUUUCUCUAUAACAUCUGAGUCAGAAGAGGCAGAGUAUGGUCUGGAAGGUUGUCUGGAUGCAGUCAUGGAUUGGGUGAGAGUUAAGAAACUGAGUUUGAAUCCUGGGAAUGUGGACAGACUGUGGGUGGCUGUGCCUGAGAGGCUGGUCAUUUGCCUGCCUGGUUGGGGUUCCUCUCCUCCUGAAAAAACAGGGUUCUAGCCUGAUGGCAUUCCUGGAUCCAUCUGGAUCCAUCUUUAUGAGUGUCUUUUCCCAGCUGUGGCUGGUUUCUUAGCUACAGAUGUUCCUGGUCACCGGUAGCCUGACUGCAGAGACUCAUGUACUAGUAACCCCAAGAUUUGACUGUUGCAAUGAUUUCUGUGUGGUGUUAGCCUUUCAAAUUGUCUUGAUGCUCCUGCUGGAGUAAAAUAUUGUGGCUUAACAUUUGAUUGGGAAGAACUAUUGCCAGCAUGUAGGAGGAUGAUGAACAACAUAAAUCAGAUAGCAUGAUAAAUAGUUCACUCUAACCCAGAAGCUGGUGUUUAAGCAAUACUUACAAGAGAACAGCAAAUUCAUUUUAAUGUUUAUCGCAGACUACUAUCAUUGAAGGUGAUGCACAGUUUACGUUAACCAAAAAGUUUUGCAUUGUGAAGGGCACCCUCUAUUCUCAUUUUUCACCAUAUGCAUAAUCCACUGGCCAUUCAAUUCCAAAGGAGUCUUUGUGUUGCGGGACUUGUGCCAUUCUUUUAUUAUUAUUGAAUUUUCCCACAAGUACUAUUUGCCCCCUAAGAUCUUCCAGUAUCUCAUUAUUAAGAUCUUGGCUGCUGGAACUCUAAAAGUGUUCUCUCUUUCCCAUUAGCUCAGCUACAGCUCCUUUGAUCCAGUGCUGAGUGAGAAAACUCACUUCUCUUCUAUGUACCGUUUGGCCCCAAAUGAAGAGUCUCAGUAUGAUGGCAUUGUUCAGCUACUCAUGUAUUUUGGAUGGAACUGGAUUGGCCUCCUUGUUUCCAAUGAUGACAGUGGAGAAACUUUCCUUCGAUACUUGAGACCAAAGCUUUUGCAGAACAAUCUUUGCCCAGCUUGGACAGUAGUGAUCCCACCAGUGACGCAGCUAUUGCCAGAUGAGAUAAUCCAACAAAGAUUGAUACCAGUCCUGAAAACUCUUGUAUUGCCAGGAAUCAAUGUGAUUUUGGUCUAUGGAGACAAUCAGUCUCUGGAAGGUUUGCGGUUGAUUUUAUAUUCCAAUGAAAUCUUUUUAAUGAACCCUCUAGAAAGGGUGUGGAUCACUACAGCUCAGUGGGAUUUUAUGGCUGUUCAGACUGGGGAGAAAAUAAUUAAAAAAUCAUUCAACGGCUCACUGUCAUUCACCCUCCACACCAUGGAGGUGCCAGGAUUUCAGGACUUUCUUGAGACCAUCAAUCCUCUUCAGUCUACAUUUUAUUUUCUUAAGGAGUUCUGGUGCACUGCUUUGUUCUGUUCAUUCCCAAGAUAUAGCCUGUAUUAUCCAAACAGGGGGAACUGCACUGGGGAGGAGAGGCUGGAGAGUCUCCCCAGAGCUGUGUUUGAAAUGCGAAUGUCUGGCCAGAGCUACAGUAUCUACAAUGCUGUGUAUGCUGUAGCCCAUGCUCUUCAUGCCAUGUAUUCCUCAAGAGCCAAGCAUAAAGCAAGGGGAAUCCUUGAAGUCGGGGCCUGGCAGGUAGCUACAGCUUCUUCAAUUAAAUCAGAA